rnacentral:rRNA from 1 species
CACGUAGGGUGCGAGCGUUGUCCGGAAUUAUUGGGCGUAAAGAGCUCGUAGGCGGUGUGUCGCGUCGGCCGUGAAAACCUGCAGCUUAACUGUGGGCUUGCGGUCGAUACGGGCAUCACUGGAGUUCGGCAGGGGAGACUGGAAUUCCUGGUGUAGCGGUGAAAUGCGCAGAUAUCAGGAGGAACACCGGUGGCGAAGGCGGGUCUCUGGGCCGAUACUGACGC